GUGUUGAGAGAGAGUUGGAAAUCCGGAGAAAUAAGACUGUCACACUUGAAGUUUUUAAGAAACUAAUUUAUUGCGGGCCGUAUCUAAUUCGUUACUCUUAACGAAAAUCCUGUUGGUUCUUGAAACUGUUGAAGUCUCUUCGACAUCCUGCUUAUAUACAGAGGGUAGUAAAUUCUCUUAAGGGUUGCCUUGGCUCGCUAGCGCGAGACCUUUUUCUCUUUCGUUCUCUCUGGAUCCCACGCUUUCUCUUAGCACGUGUGCAUGGAAUCGUUCUCGAGUCUUGGCGGGGCACCACCAUCUUUCACUCGCCCAAGGGUGGACCGAAGCCAGGGAGAGGGACCGCCUCCGGACAGGGAUGGGCUCCUCCACCAUUGGGCCAGGGAUGAUCCUGAGGGAGGAUUCAGGAUCUAGCGAGGAGGGGAUGGCAGCCUGCAUACAUUUUUGUCAAAGUUAUAGUCACGAAAUAAAGUCGUAUAAAUUUUUAUUUCUUACGCAAAGGUGUUUUGAUUUAUUAAAAGCCGCGCCGCGAGCAGAGCGCUUCAGCGCUCCACGGGCACCUUACCCACGUUCGGCAAAUUCUAAAUAUCCCUAGAACACUAAAUCCACACGCAACAGGGGACAGAUAAGUCCCCAAAAGCGCCGGCCCUUAGGGGCGAAAUUAGUGAGUUGAGUUGAUUGAUUGAUUGAUUGACAGGUAUAGGUUAUAGUGAAAAACAUGUGGAAAUUGAAUGCAGUUACUUUCUUACAAGAUAUAUCUGGAAGUAUGUUUAAGCAUUUAUUCAGACAUUGAUGAGGGAAUUACAACCAAAAAAUUAUGGAGUAGAAUAGUUGAAUAGUUACAUUACAGAAAUUAAACAGUGCGGAAUGAAAUACUAGGGCAAAUGAGAAAAACGUACUCUGAAAACAGAUGCAAUUACUUUCUCGUAGGAUAUAUAAGGAAAUAUGUUUAAAGUAAAAGAAAUAUUAAAUCUUAUUUUUUUCAAUACAUUCUUUAUUCCAAAUUAAUAUUGUUGAGUAUAAUGUAGCAAUAUAUAGUAAUAUGAUUUCUUUUUCUAUAUUUUCAGCAUUUAUUCUGUUAGUUUAUCUGGAAACAAUCAGGUAACAAAAACAAGUCCAGUGUCAAAGGAUACGGACAGAGUCAUGGUUUAUACAACGGUCUUUAGGUUGGGGACCGAUGGGUGUAUAGAGUUUUCCAGGAAUGGCCUGAGCAAUAAAACUCCGGGCAUUUCUAUAUUUAGUUUUCUAAGUGGAUCCAAUAGGGGUUUUUCCGCUGACAACUCCUCACUUCAACUUUAGUUUUCAAACUGUGCAGACGUCUUCUGAGUGUUCAUUUGAGAAAUAAAUUCAUUUUGUGUUUUAGAAA